rnacentral:rRNA from 1 species
GACGUAGGGCGCGAGCGUUGUCCGGAUUUAUUGGGCGUAAAGAGCUCGUAGGCGGCUUGUCGCGUCGUCCGUGAAAACCUGUGGCUCAACUGCAGGCUUGCGGUCGAUACGGGCAGGCUGGAGUUCGGUAGGGGAGACUGGAAUUCCGGGUGUAGUGGUGAAAUGCGUAGAUAUCCGGAGGAACACCAGUGGCGAAAGCGGCCACCUGGACUGCACCUGACGCUGACACGCGAAAGCUAGGGGAGCGAACGGG